AAAACUUUCAACAACGGAUCUCUUGGUUCCAGCAUCCAUGAAGAACGCAGCGAAAUGCGAAAAGUAAUGUGAAUUGCAGAAUUCCGUGAAUCAUCGAAUCUUUGAACGCACAUUGCGCCCCUUGGUAUUCCGGGGGGCAUGCCUGUUCGAGCGUCAUUG
rnacentral:rRNA from 1 species